rnacentral:ncRNA from 1 species
AGGGACAAAUAAGACUCAAUCGCGUGGGACAUCAUCGUUACAGAGACAGCCAGGAGGUUUGCCUAGAAGCAGCCACCCUUGAAAGAGUGCGUAAUAGCUCACUGAUCGAGCGCUCUUGCACCGAAGAUGAACGGGCUAAGCAAUCUGCCGAA